UACGUAGGGGGCAAGCGUUGUCCGGAAUCAUUGGGCGUAAAGCGCGUGUAGGCGGCUGGGUAAGUCCGCUCUGAAAGCCCGGGGCUCAACCCCGGGAGGCGGGUGGAUACUGCUCAGCUCGAGUCCGGAAGAGGAGUGUGGAUUCCUGGUGUAGCGGUGAAAUGCGCAGAUAUCAGGAGGAACACCAAUGGCGAAGGCAG
rnacentral:rRNA from 1 species